AGUAGUGUUCUAAGGGACCAUCUAUUUAAAAAAAAUCUUAUCGAAAACGCACUGUGUUCCUGUGGUCGUGUAGAAACUACCUCUCAUUACUUCCUCAAAUAUCCAAAAUAUAAUGAAAUUCGAAGGGAUACUAUCGGGACGGUCUCUUGUUUUAAUCUUAAGAUUAUCUUAUAUGGGGACAGUUUAAAGUCUGACGAGGACAAUAUGCAAAUAUUUCAUAAAGUUUCUGAAUACAUAAAUAAAACAAAACGUUUUGAAAGUUGAUCUUGUAUAUAUAUAUAUAUAAAAAAAAACGAUGUAAAAUCGAGUGGAUUGUCCGUCGUAAAUGACUAUAGUCGGACAUGUGUGUUGGUUUCAGUGACUAUCUAUCAAGAAAGUAAAGUAGAGUCGACUGUUUCAUUUUUUUUUCAUUUUUUUGUUUUGUUUCACAUUUUCUUUCUUUUAAUUUCUUUUAUUUGUUAGUUGUAUUUUUUUUAUUUUUUUUUUAUUUUUUUUUUUUUUUUUUUUUUUUUUAUUUUUUUUUUUAAAA